rnacentral:lncRNA from 1 species
CAGAGAGAAAGAAAUAUUGUCAGAAAGUAAAAAACACUCACAGAGAGUCAUCACUGUACAGAAAACCACCAAACACAACAUCGGAACACCACACGCGCCUACACGCUCUCCCACGUGCCGCCACAUCCACGCGUUGUCACAUGCGCGGCCACUGGAGAUGUUAUGCAUUGCCAUCGACCGCUGCUUGCUACCGCUGAAAAACACACAAAAAAUGCAUAGAACCAUGUGACUCGAAAAAUCAAGCACAGAUCUGGUGAAAACGCGCUGAAACGCCACCGAGAACAUCGCAAAUCAAGCCUAAAGCAAAUCGGGUGCCGUCGCACUGGUUUGUCUUCUUCGACGCGCGUUAUCCCUCUUUGGCUCUAAUUUUGAGCAUAGACAAGGCCGAACGUCGCGGAACUACCUUCGGUUUCUCUUCUCCGGCCCUCAUCACCCGAUUUGUUUUUU